rnacentral:lncRNA from 1 species
UGCUUUUGGCACAAAGACGUCAUGGCUAAACGUGACGUCAUACAAAUGAAAACUUACAAACUGGAGGUAAUUACGUUACUUGUACGCUUCAAAUUCGAAUAAAAUUACAUUAAAACGGCGAAUUCGAGGUAGGUGUUGUUUUAUUUUCGAUUAUAUAGUAGUAAUCGAACAUUUGUUGAUUCAACAAUUCAAAAUGGCGGGUCCCUCCUUAGUUACGCCUGGUCAACUGUGGAUUUGACGGCAACUUUUAGCCAAUGAAAAAAAUUGUAACAUCCAAAUUGCAUUAGAAUAAACACUU